GGAGAGAUGCCGGAGCGGCUGAACGGGCCGGUCUCGAAAACCGGAGUAGGGGCAACUCUACCGGGGGUUCAAAUCCCCCUCUCUCCGCCA
rnacentral:tRNA from 3 species